AGCGCGGCGCACAGCUCAGUAGCACGUGGCUAACCUGCCCUUGGGACGGGAACACCCCCGGGAAACUGGGGCUAAUUCCCGAUAGGUGAAGAACUCUGGAAUGAGUCUUCGCCCAAAAGACGCUUACGUCAUGCUCGUAGGCGCCGCCCAAGGAUGGGGCCGCGGCCGAUCAGGUUGUUGGUGAGGUAACGGCUCACCAAGCCUAUAACCGGUGCGGGCCGUGGGAGCGGGAGCCCGGAGAUGGGCACUGAGACAAGGGCCCAGGCCCUACGGGGCGCAGCAGUCGCGAAAACUUUGCAAUAAGCGAAAGCUUGACAGGGCUAUCCCGAGUGCCGUCCGCUGAGGAUGGCUUUUACCCAGUCUAGAAAGCUGGGGGAAUAAGGAGAGGGCAAGUCUGGUGUCAGCCGCCGCGGUAAUACCAGCUCUCCGAGUGGUGUGGACGUUUAUUGGGCCUGAAGCAUCCGUAGCUGGCUGUUCAAGUCCCCUGUUAAACCCAACGAUUUAAUCGUUGGUCUGCGGGGGAUACUGUUCGGCUAGGGGGCGGGAGAGGCAGACGGUAUUUCCGGGGUAGGGGUGAAAUCCUACAAUCCCGGGAAGACC
rnacentral:rRNA from 1 species